AUGACCCUUUGUGCGGAACGACUGACACCUUUUGCGAGCACAAGCGUUCAUUCCAGCAAAAAAUUGCGGUACAAAUUGCAAAAAGUGCUUAUUCCGCUAGCGAUUGGAUAAAAGUCGGUUGCCAAGAGCCGCCCAACACGCAUAGACAGGCAGAAAGACAGACGCGCGUGCAAAAAGGGCUAAGUGUUGCUGAUUGCUAGCAGAAAUCCAGGACUCGAGGACACGUUCAGCCGGAAGUAGAGACGCCAGCAAGCAGCGACCAUGUCCGGCAUUGCUAUCACACGUCUGGGGGAGGAGCGCAAGGCCUGGAGGAAGGAUCACCCGUUCGGGUUCGUCGCCCGACCCGCCAAGAACCCCGACGGCACCCUCAACCUGAUGAUCUGGGAGUGCGCCAUUCCCGGCAAGAAGUCCACCCCCUGGGAGGGCGGUCUCUACAAGCUGCGCAUGAUCUUCAAGGACGACUACCCCACAUCGCCGCCCAAGUGCAAGUUCGAGCCGCCACUGUUCCACCCGAACGUCUAUCCCUCGGGCACCGUCUGCCUGUCGCUGCUGGACGAGGAGAAGGACUGGCGCCCCGCCAUCACCAUCAAGCAAAUCCUGCUGGGCAUCCAGGACCUGCUCAACGAGCCGAACAUCAAGGACCCGGCCCAGGCGGAGGCCUACACCAUCUACUGCCAGAAUCGACUGGAGUACGAGAAGCGGGUGCGCGCCCAGGCCCGCGCCAUGGCGGCCACCGAGUAGUCGGGCUCCUGCCAGUCACCUUCCCCACAUAGACAUUAACAAAUACACACACAUCUAGCCGCUUGUACCAUCUGCAUAAAUCCCAAUAAGUCCUGUAAUUCUAUGAUGAGCCCCAAAGUGGCUACGUGGCACCCAGAAGCCGACGCUCCCUUCCAUCUUCGAUUCUGGGUGCAUGUCCGAUUGUUCUACGGGCUAUUUUGUAUCGCAAGUACUACGUACAAACAUAUGUAAUUUCAAUAAAAAUGUAUUAGUUGUAAAA
rnacentral:misc_RNA from 1 species